AUUGAACGCUGGCGGCGUGCUUUACACAUGCAAGUCGAACGGUAACAGGUUAAGCUGACGAGUGGCGAACGGGUGAGUAAUGCAUCGGAACGUGCCCGAUCGUGGGGGAUAACGCAGCGAAAGCUGCGCUAAUACCGCAUACGAUCUGAGGAUGAAAGCGGGGGACCGUAAGGCCUCGCGCGAUCGGAGCGGCCGAUGUCAGAUUAGGUAGUUGGUGGGGUAAAGGCUCACCAAGCCAACGAUCUGUAGCUGGUCUGAGAGGACGACCAGCCACACUGGGACUGAGACACGGCCCAGACUCCUACGGGAGGCAGCAGUGGGGAAUUUUGGACAAUGGGCGAAAGCCUGAUCCAGCAAUGCCGCGUGCAGGAAGAAGGCCUUCGGGUUGUAAACUGCUUUUGUACGGAGCGAAAAGGCCCUCUCUAAUACAGGGGGCUCAUGACGGUACCGUAAGAAUAAGCAUCGGCUAACUACGUGCCAGCAGCCGCGGUAACAC
rnacentral:rRNA from 1 species